rnacentral:rRNA from 1 species
UACGGAGGGAGCUAGCGUUGUUCGGAAUUACUGGGCGUAAAGCGCACGUAGGCGGCUUUGUAAGUUAGAGGUGAAAGCCCGGGGCUCAACUCCGGAACUGCCUUUAAGACUGCAUCGCUUGAAUCCAGGAGAGGUGAGUGGAAUUCCGAGUGUAGAGGUGAAAAUUCGUAGAUAUUCGGGAAGAACAACCAGUGGCGAAGGCGGCUCACUGGACUGGUAUUGACGCUGAGGUGCGAAA